rnacentral:sRNA from 1 species
GACCGCUAAUUUUAUUAGCAAAGGCCACACGGACAGCCGGGUCGAACGCCGA